UAGUCGAUAUUUUUUCGAGUAGGUAAACAGACGGCAUAUAUUGAAAAAUCUAGUUUAUUUAACUAUCACUUAACAUAUGAGUGUCAAUCUUGUUUUCACCCCACUUACUCAGAAGGAGGGUAAUGCGUUUUGCGCUUCCAUGGAAGAGAUUUCGAUCUCUAAUGCCAUUAGAUAUUGCUAUGCGUCGUUGGUUUACUUGUGUAAAUUGAUGGCUAUGUUUUUACAGCGAUUUCGACUCAACUUAAAACGCAGAAUCCAGUUGUUCGGAAACCUCUAGAACAUAGGAACGACGUCGAUGGAGGCGCCACCGGCGAUGGCAUCGGAGGGGGGACAGCGCGGCGCGGGGGGCAGCCACGUACGAGGAUCGCGGGCCGCUCACACACCUUACCGAUCAGCUGUGAAAAUUGUACGCGUCGCGCGCCGUUUAAUUAUAUAAUUUGUUACAAAUCAUCCGUUGGAAUAAACCAGUACCUAUAUUUCGGAAACAGCCUCAGUCAUUUCUACAGCCCAAGAAUUCUCCCUAACAAAGUGGUCCUUCGCAAGAAAGAAAAAACAACGGAGGCAGGCGUGCAGUGACGCGUGCGUGGCGAUUUUGCAGCGCAGGAAAAAACCAACGUGGCGCACACGUCUCCAAGAAAUAUAUCGACGAGAACGGAUAACUGUGGCUACGGAUCGGUAAAUAGUGUGUCGUUCCAAUUAAUCAUUGCCCUUUAUCACUUCUUAAAUUCUUCCCGCUUUGUUGGCCAUUUAAAUCUGUUCCAUUUUUUUUCCCCAUAUUUAUUAGUCAUCGCAUUCAUUUCGUUGCACAUAUUUCAAGCCUGGUUAUCGCUCAAGCCUAUUAUUGUAGGUGCAUCGCUGCAUAAUUAGUAGCAGGCAAAAAUAAGAAACCUGUUUACACGGAUACGUGUUAGCUUGACCGCUAAUUCACUCAAGGUCAACAUCUGUCGCUUUGCAAUUUAUUCAACGCAGUGCUUGCUCAUUAGUUACGAAUUAACGUAAUUAUUAUUUAUUUGAAUAAUGGACUCUAAACUUAAAGAAUUAGUUAAGAAACGUGCAAGCUGUAAAGCUAAACUUACGCUUUUCAGCAAUUAUUUAAAUGUAGUCCUUUCUUGUUCACGAUUAAGUGAUUUACAAGUAACAGAACUGGAAACCCGACUUGAUAAAAUGGAUUUAUUAUACAAUGACUAUGAUAAAAUACAGGGGGAUAUCGAGCUGCUGAUGGAGGACUCCGCCGAGGCAUUGGCUGAUCGCGAAGCCUUUCAAAACCAAUACUUCUCCUUGGUGUCAUCGGCGCGCGAGGUGCGACGUCAGCAUAGCGAGCGAAGAGCCAGCGUGUUGCAGAGAACCAGAUGGCAUGCGUCCACAGGCGAAAUUAAGCUGAAUCAGUUAGUUCUGAUCAGAGAGAAAACGCAACCACCACUACAUUGGCUAUUAGGCCGUAUCGUCAAGGUGUUUCCUGGUGCUGACGGCAUCACGAGGGUGGCGGAAAUCAAAACCAAGAAGGGCAACAUCACAAGGGCCUUCAACAACAUAUGUCCUUUACCUAUUGAAGACGAUGUUUCAACCCGGGCAGGAUGUUCGGAAACCUCUAGAACAUAGGAACGACGUCGAUGGAGGCGCCACCGGCGAUGGCAUCGGAGGGGGGACAGCGCGGCGCGGGGGGCAGCCACGUACGAGGAUCGCGGGCCGCUCACACACCUUACCGAUCAGCUGUGAAAAUUGUACGCGUCGCGCGCCGUUUAAUUAUAUAAUUUGUUACAAAUCAUCCGUUGGAAUAAACCAGUACCUAUAUUUCGGAAA